rnacentral:rRNA from 1 species
UACGGAGGGGGCUAGCGUUGUUCGGAAUUAUUGGGCGUAAAGCGCGUGUAGGCGGCUUUGCAAGUCGGGUGUGAAAGCCCUCAGCUCAACUGAGGAAGUGCGCCCGAAACUGCAGAGCUUGAGUACCGGAGAGGAUGGCGGAAUUCCCCAAGUAGAGGUGAAAUUCGUAGAUAUGGGGAGGAACACCGGUGGCGAAGGCGGCGACCUGGGUGGAUACUGACGCUGAGGUGCGAAAGCGUGGGGAGCAAACAGG